AACCGAUCAGAAACCCACAAGGUUUCAGAAGGCCAGGGAGAAUCUUCAGCUUUUUGAGGGAGAUCCAGAUAACUUCAUGUGACGAUUUGUGACCAGGGAUGAGACCUGAGUCCACCACUUCAAACCGGACCCAAACAACAGAUGCUGACAGCAUCAUAAUGGUGGACGAUCUCCAGAAGGGACAGACCAUCAAUGGGUUCUAUUAUGCUGUACUUUUGUGACAACUGCAGGACAAAAUAAAGCAGAAGUGGUGUGGAAUGCUCUGAUGAAGUGUCCUGUUUUACUAGAACAAUGCUCUGGUCCACACGUCAGUCAUCACAAUGGCUGCCAUUCAUGAAUGUGGCUUCAAACUUCUUCAGCAACCACAUUAUUCCCCUGAUUUUGCUCCUUCAGUCUUCCAUCUGUUUCCAAA